UCGAGUUGGCGUCGCUUCGUUCGCCUCGCCUCGUUCAGUCACGCACGUCACAUCAGUUUACUCGCUCAGCUCAGUUGAGUAGUGAUCUCGAUAGCCGGCGAACCGUACGCACGGCGCACACGUGCCACUCGCGCCCAACCAUCCCUUUUCCGUUCCGCAAUAUUCCGAUCCAAGCGAUUUCGCCGUUUAUUCGGCGUCGCUAUCCUAUCAUACGACAACCCGUCGAUACAAGUCAUUACGCGCCAUACCCAUCGAUGCCUUACCUACUUUCGUAUCAUACUAAGUAGGUAUAUACACAAAAUAAACAUUGCAUCCAAAACAACCACGUGUGCGCACCGGCCGGCAUAUAAUCAAUCCCUUAACCAUCGACUAUCCAAAAGUCCACGCUCCGUAAUUUGAAAAAUCUAUAUCAUGAAUUAAAAUAACUUGGUGUCUAGUAAUAAAAAACAUUCCAAUUUAACAUCGUCAGUAUUUUAGUUACCUGUAAUCGUGUCGUUAAUAUUAUUAAUUCUUUAAAAAAAUCAGUGAAAUGUCUAAUUCCGUGGAGCAGCAAUUCAGCGAGCUUAAUCUGUCACAGGAGGAUCAUGAUCAAAUAUUCGAACAAGAGGAUCACCAAGACCAAAGCCGAUCAUCAAAGGUGGUACUCAUCAGUGGUCUGCCCCUGCAUUUUCGCUUCGACAACAUCGAGCACCAACUCGCACAGUAUGGCAACGUGCAGCAUUGCGACAAAGCGACCUCGCGUGAUGCCAACACCCAAGCGGUGUACAUAACGUUCGAGACGCCGGAGCAGGCGCAGCUAGCUAUCAAUGGCUUGAAUGGGUGUGAAAUAGAGGGCAGCCGAAUGAAAGUGGAAGCCGCAGAGCAAAACGCCCGGGGCGGGCGGCGUGGCAGGCCAGGCGGCGGCCGUGGGGGUGGCGGUGCAACCGGCGGCGGCUCGCGACCCACCGAUUUUCCAUUACGGUUAUUGGUACAAAGCGAUAUGGUCGGAGCGAUCAUAGGUCGACAAGGCAGCACUAUACGUCUUAUUACACAGCAAAGCCGCGCUCGUGUUGACGUACAUCGCAAAGACAAUGUGGGCUCCCUCGAAAAAGCCAUAACAAUUUACGGCAACCCCGAGAACUGUACCAAUGCGUGUAAAAGAAUACUGGAGGUCAUGCAACAGGAGGCAAAUAACACUAAUAAAGGUGAUAUCUGUCUUAAGAUUUUGGCUCAUAAUAAUUUAAUAGGAAGAAUUAUUGGUAAAGGUGGGAAUACCAUCAAAAGAAUCAUGCAAGAAACUGAUACCAAGAUUACAGUAUCUUCAAUCAAUGAUAUUAACAGCUUCAAUUUAGAGCGGAUUAUCACCGUUAAAGGAUCAAUUGAAAAUAUGGCUAAAGCGGAGUCACAAAUAUCAGCUAAAUUGCGCCAGAGUUAUGAAAAUGACUUGCAGGUGUUGGCACCGCAAAGCAUAAUGUUCCCGGGGUUACACCCGAUGGCAAUGAUGUCAACAGGCCGCGGCUUCUGCGGAGCUCCGCCGCCAUUCCCGCCGCCCAUCUAUGCGCCACUGGCCGGUCAGAGUGGAGCGCAACAGGGUGCUGGUGAUUCGCAGGAAACUACUUACUUAUAUAUACCCAACAAUGCGGUAGGCGCUAUCAUCGGUACUAAAGGCUCCCACAUCCGUAACAUAAUUCGGUUCAGUAACGCGUCUGUGAAGAUCGCGCCGCUGGAACAGGACAAACAGGCCGAGAGCCAGAACAACGCGCAGCAAGAGCGGAAGGUCACAAUCGUCGGUAGUCCUGAAGCCCAGUGGAAGGCGCAGUAUUUGAUCUUCGAGAAAAUGAGGGAAGAAGGUUUCAUGUCGGGAUCUGAUGACGUCCGACUGACUGUCGAAAUAGUUGUCGCUUCGUCUCAAGUUGGGCGGAUCAUCGGCAAGGGUGGUCAGAAUGUACGGGAGCUACAGCGCGUGACCGGCUCCCUGAUCAAGCUGCCAGAGCAGCCGCAGCAACAAACUGGUCAGCAGCAAGACCACGACACGACCGUGCACAUCGUGGGACCGUUUUACAGCGUCCAGCGACCAUCUGAGGCCGGAUAAGACAUGUGAAGAGAGAACCUGUAUAAGGAUUCGAUUGUUCUAUGUGAGCCAGUGAAAUGGCCCUACAUAUACUGGCCAUUUGUACCUUUGAUGCAACUCUCUAUAGUCUGCCCAACGGCGUAUCCGUGCUAUGGUGGCGCAGGCUAGUGCGCCGGGCCGCCGCCGCGCUGCUCAGCCGCCGCCCGCACAGCAGUAAACGGCCUCCGAUACCCCUCUACCCCGCGCGCCCCGAUCACCACCUCACCCUAGCCCUCGCCACACAGUCAGCCUCGGCCAGCCUCCGCCCUCGGCAGCGUGCUCGAUCCCGAGGCCGCCGCCCCUAUCUCACAGGCCAGUAGCGCGUUAUAUCUCUAUUAGCACAGUUAGAGUAGCCGGCGCACCUACGUUGUACAGACUGGACACGCCCGCUCCCCGUCUACCGAACACUGCGCAGGCAGGCUGUUGUGUUGACAGCAUGUGUCCAAAUGUUAUUGUUGACAUAAUUAUAUUAUUGUAGUGAAUUGUAAUUAAAUACUAUUGAUAAAUCCAUAUUUUAUCCCGGGAUUAACUAUGUUGAUGAUGAUUGAUAUUUGAAUAUUAUAUAUAUUAUUCAUAUACACAAUUUUUUUUAACGAUAGUGACAGUUAUAUGAAUUUAUUGCCGUGAAUAUAUUUAAUUGUUAUAAUUGUUUUCCUACCAUGUUAUGCUACUACAUUGUAAAGAGUUGUCAUAGAAUGCAAUAGUUAACGAUUACGUUCUCUAUACAUAUACACAUGUUGAUAACAAUAGCUAUAGUAUCUGACCAUUAUAUACAAACGAGAAGAUUGCAUAUUUUGUUUUGUUAUAAAGUAAUAGAUUAAUCUGUUGAGAUCACUACACUGCUGUUAAAUAUAAUUUUUGAAAGGGUGUGUGUGUGGGAUAUAAACCAACAGUAGGAACGGAUAAUGCACACGACUUUGCUUUAUCGAGGAGGCUCAAUGGAAUAACGGAUGCUUGGCGAGUAUAUUGUAAGAAUAUUUUCUUUAAAACGAUACAUGGAAUUUCUGCAUGCAUGCUGAAGAAAACGUGUUGUACAAUGGUUUUCUAGAAUCAACUUAUGUGUUGGGUGUUAAGUAACUAAUCCAAAGAGUGAACGCCGAUCGCUUGUCGAAUUGGCACAGUGUUGUGACGAGCCUUGACUAGACCAGAGGGCGCGGCCGCGUCGGCGCCCGCGGUCUCUCGCGCCGGGCAGCCACGAGGCACUCGCAAGCGCUCUCGCCAUUACGGAAAUGAUAAUAUCCAUUCUGUGGAUAAAUAUUUUUGAUAUAAUAGUAAUUGUUGGAGUGUAAGGAGUUUUAAUUUGUAAGUGACAUUUGUUGAUUCGUUUUUUUGUAAUUUUGUCUUUGUUAGCUUUAUAAUGUUUUCUUAACGGUGAUUUUGAAAAUUAAGGCGAUAUCGUAGCGUUAAUGGUGCGAAUGAAAGCGUCGCGUAUUGGUCGGUUCUAUCGUGAUAUGUUUUAUUGUACGAUUUGCGUUAUACUUGUGCCAAGUGAGAUAAUUAAAUAUGAGAGAUUAAGAUUAAGUGAGUAAUAUCAAAAUUAAAGAAAAAAAAACUUAGAUAUUUAUAUUUAUAAUUGUGAUAAUAAUAUAUGGAAGUUUUGGCAAAAAUGUUACUAAGAAUGUUAAAUCAUUCUUAUUUCCAUUUUCUCAAUUUUAGGUUAGAUUAUAAUAAAAUUAUAAAUUAAGUUAUAGGCGAUGUUGGGCAUAAUUAUAUAGUAGAAAUGCGAGUGCGCAGCACGCCUUGAAGGUCACGAACUGUACCAAGUGCAGGACGUGCGGCCCACAAAGCCAUUGCGUGGCGGCUGGUGGCGCGUGCUCAUCUGCAUAAUACAAACCCGUUAUUUUAUAACAUUAAAAACCCAAAUAAUUUGUCCCAAAUGCAUUAAAAUAAUUUUCAUUUCAUAUCUGUCUCUUUGAUAAUUAUGACCCUUUUGUGUAAAUAUUUGCACAUCAAGUGUUUGUAUAUUUGCGAAUCUUGAAUUUUAAAAUGCUAUUUUCCAAAUACAUAUCCAUUUUAUUAUAAUUGGAUUUGCACAGCUAUGAUCUGUAAUUUCUCAUAAUUUUUAAACACCUGUGGUCUGAUCAAUUGGCCAUCAACAGUUUUGUAUUGCUUCCACAUAUUAUUGAAAAUUAAUCUCACUUAUUGGCAUUUCAUUUGUUGUGACGGUUCCAUAACUUCACUAACCGAUCGGGCAAAAUGCGUAUAUACUACAAUAAUGCAUUGAAAGUUUUGUUUGUAAGCUAAUAUUUGACAUGAGAGUAACUAUACAAAUGAACAAAAUAAUAUGAGGCUGAUGUCGACUAUUCACAAAUACGUUUAACUAUUGAUUAGUCAUAUCAAUGAGGGGUACCUUUAUUACAUUAACAUACUUAUUUGUCGUGGUCAUUAUUCCUUAAAUUGAUGCAAUAUAAAGUAUAUGAACAUAUAAUUAAAAAAAUAUUACGAUCUAUAAAUGUUUACUUAUUUCUUUAUCAAGUCAUGAGUUUAUCAAAAACAUAAUUAAAAUUUAUUGGUUGUCAUUUGUCAAAUAUUAGAAAGUUGUUUAUUACUAUUGUAUCAAGGGCAGUUUUUACUAUGAAACACUUAGGGGUAAUUAUAUAUUUUCCGUUCUAAUCAAUUUUAUAUAACCGGAAGUGCAACUUAAAAAAAGCCCUUAAUAACAUUUCAGGCCUAUGCUCAAAGGCUUAUUUAUACGCUUUUGGUAUUAAAGAACCGUAAAAAAUUGAUUAAAAUAAUAGGAUAGGUUCCAAUUAGAAAAAAAAAAAACUUACCGAGAUUGUACCGUUUUACUAUUGAAAGCCAAGUUAAUGUGCUAUUUAUGACCCAAAAAUAUGACUUCGUUAUAUGUUCGAUAUAUUAAUAACAAUAUUUCAUUGACCGUUUUACUAUAAUAUAUACUUGCAUAUUUUAAAUGUAUAAAUGUUAUGGUUUUAAUAUAAAAAUAGUGCUGUUUCCAAACACGCUACGGAAAGUUUUAUAUUAGCUUUCGAUAUAUAUGCGUAAUAUGCGGUUAUUGGCUUUCAAAUCCAUUAUUCGCUAUGCUGUUCAGAAUUCGGACAUUAUUACACGUCCAUAUGAUGAACUCCUUAUCAUUAUCGAAAACACACUAUUUUAAGUCGGUGAUGUCAUAUAAUCUAUAACGCUAUGAAAUAGGCGACUACCUCAGAAUAUGCACAAAUUUUUAUUAUAUUUGGCAAAUAUAACUGUUGUAUAUAUAGUAUAGUAUAUUUAAUAAAUAAACUAUGAAUUAUAUAUAUGUGAAAUAAUUUUCAUGCGUUUGAAAUUAAUUUUAACCUAAAAAAUCUUUAUAAUCAAUUUGUAAAAUGAAAUGAUUAGAUUUUUCACUACUGUAUGAAAUUAGCGACACCUAGAAUAUAAAUUAAUUACGCUGUUAAGUGUAAUUAAGACAUGAUUUCAUACUAUAUUGUGCCAAACUAUAAAAUUGCUGUGUCUAUUCUCGCUCCUGCCGAUAUGACACCAUGUAUGUGCGUUAAUAACUAAUACACUCCGUCACUUAAUAUAGUGUGUUAGAGUGCCUCAAAAUAAAUGCAUUGAAUGAUAUCUGAGCAGUGUAAUUGUUGGAAUUUUACAAAUUAUACUUGGCUGGCAAUGAAACACCGCAUCUAUUGCAGUUUGCAGUCUUUUAGUCCUUACAAGACUGACGCCCGGUGGCAUUUCAAUUUACUACCACGUAGUUGAACUAACUUAUAACGAGCAACUACUGACAAUAGUUGGAACACUAAUAACAUAACCGCAAUAUAUUGCAUUGACCAACUUAAGAUAACGAAAGAAAAAAUAUAUUUGUUUGUAAUUAUCUGUAGUGAUAAUAAUAUCAAAAAGUAUCAUCUCGGAAGUACAGCGAGUUCAUGGAACCCCCUUACACCUGGUGGGCGGUUCUAUUAUGAGCUCGCUGCUCAAGCCGCACCAUAUUGAAAAUGUUUUACAAGAUAUUUGACUCUAAGUCUGUUGACACUUAUAAUGUAACAUUCCAUACUUUAAUAAAUAACACCUAAGAGUGCUGAAAUUUAGAGUCAGAUAUCAUAAUGUAUAUUCAAAUAUAAUUUGGACAAUGUAUUUUAAUGUUAUUAUGUGAUAAGGACUUGUAAUUAUCUUUAAUGGUCUUAUGACCUAAAAAAACGAUGAAGAAUAAUUUGCAAUCACGAUGUUAGCAGUUAUUUGUAUAUUACGAACAAUUUGUCUCUGUUUAAGGUAAUAUGUAUCGAUAAAUUAUGAUACAGUAGAACCUCUAAAAGUUUAAGUUCAAGAAAAACUAUAAUAAAGUUCCAGUUAUAAAAAGUACAUAAGUGUACGUAGUAUUAAGUGUUUAAACCAGACUAAACCUAUAAAAUGUUAUACAUCCACAUUUUUACUUUACAACAGUUUCGUUUACAUGUUUUUGAAGAUUUAAUAACAGUUUGGCAAGUCAUAAAAAUGGCAUGUUUAUAAAUAUUAAUCUUUGCUCUUUCCUAUUGCUAAACUAAAUUGUAGAUUGUGACUCUGACCGUGAAUACAAAACCGUGCUUAAAUUACACGGAAUAUUUUUUAAACAGACGGGCAGAUAACCAAUUUUGCUAACUACUAUAUUAUUUAUUCUCCGAUAAUUGUUAAUUUUCCUAGAGCUCUUGCAAUCGAAACGUAAAGUACUAGGUACUAGUAAUAAUUUGAGGUUUUAUGUUACCGUGUAUUUAAAUUAUUGAGGUUUUACCGUAUAUACUUACAUAUUUAACGUUUGAAUUUGUGUGUUGAAUAUAUAUAUAUGAAUUCAUGUUGGUGUAACAUUUUCACGCGAUAAUAAAUAUUCAAUAUUAUGCUGGACAAGAAGUAGUAUCGUCGUGUGUGAAGUGCAGCAGUGCGGUGGCGAGCGAUGUCAUUGGCGGACGUAGCCGUCGCCGCCUGUUGCGCUGCACCGCGACCGGCAGAUUCCGCUUGCAUCGGCAAUCUAAUGGAGUAUGAUAAACAGUUACUUUCACUACCACAGAGAUGUACAUAUAAAGCAUGUUGUUUAUUCCUCCCAAAUAUAAGCAAGAGAGGUACAUUGAUUUGGAACGUGUUUAGGAUGCAGAAAUAGUUUUAGUUGAUUAAUUGUAUCGUUGUGAAGUAGUGUUAAGUUGAGGGUAGGCGCGGGCGGCGCGCGGCCACGAGACUGAACUACACCCCUGCCGUCGCGCCCCCGCGCCCAUUACUUACAUGUCAUUCUCGCUAAUAAUAUACUUUAUCAUUCUUGUUUGACGAUCUACUGUUAUUUACAUUAUAAUAUUACUUUCUCAUGUGUGUAACCACUUUUGUGUAUUAGACGUGUGAACGACCGAAUUUUAUUUCAUUUAUUUUGUGCAUGAUUGUAUUUGAAAAUAGGUAGUAGAAAUCUAAUGUGACCGAUUUAUUUACAAAUUAGAUAAUUCAUUAUUGAAGUUAUUUUUAUCAGACCAUGAUACCUAUGUAUUUUUUAUUUGAAUUAAUUUCAAUUUAUUGUUAAACUUUUAUUUAGUGGGGAAAUGGAGCACUUAUUCUGUUGUUCGUACGUUACACCCUUCAAUAUAAUUAAAGUUUCUUGCAGUUAAAUAGUGUUUAAUGUACGUAUGUAUUUAUGUACGUUACUGGAACUUGUAAGAGUGCAGAGGCACGUAGCGGACGAAGGCAGUGUCGCCGAUACGAGGUGAACCGGCUCGGUGUUUGUGUAGGCCCGCACGUCGCGUCGCGCCCUGUGAUAAUAGAUUUUAAGGGGCAGCCUACGCAUGUGCACGACGCACACAUACACACGUACGCGCCGGGUCGGAUUCACCUCACGCGACACUCGCAUUUAGAUAUCGAGAAGCUAUUAUUGUUACUUCUCAAACUUAUUAAGGUCCAAUGUACAAUUGAUUUUCGGUUUUUUUUUGCAAGUAACUGUUCAUACUGGAUGUUUUUAACAUACAUAUUCCACCAAAAUUUUACUUUGAAUUUUACUGUUAUUUUUAGAGAACCAUUUAUAAUUGGUAUAAGUUUUGAAACUAAUAACUACCUCAAUAUUACUAAAUGAAUAUGAUAAUUAUCUUUGUGCAUGUUUUUGGGAACUGAAUUUAAAAUAUUCAAUAUAGUAUAAGGAUGCUAUUUUAAAACAUCGUAAUGGAAAAUUGUCAAAAUUAGGUUUCUUAACGUAAUAAAAGUGAGAAAAUUUAA